GGGCUCGUAGCGCAGCAUGGAUAGCGCGGCAGUGUAAAAAGCUGUAGGUCGUGGGUUCAAAUCCCACCGGGCCCG
rnacentral:tRNA from 1 species